rnacentral:rRNA from 1 species
UACGAGGGGUGCAAGCGUUGCUCGGAAUUAUUGGGCGUAAAGGGCAGGUAGGUGGUCUCAUUUGUCUGGGGUGAAAGCCUUGAGCUUAACUCAAGAAGUGCCCCGGAAACGGUGAGACUGGAGUCCUGGAGAGGGUCGUGGAAUUCCCGGUGUAGCGGUGAAAUGCGUAGAGAUCAGGAGGAACACCAGAGGCGAAGGCGGCGACCUGGACAGGCACUGACACUCAACUACGAAAGCGUGGGGAGCAAACAGG